rnacentral:rRNA from 1 species
UUCAGCGGCGGACGGGUGAGUAAUGCCUAGGAAUCUGCCCGAUAGUGGGGGACAACGUUUCGAAAGGAACGCUAAUACCGCAUACGUCCUACGGGAGAAAGCAGGGGACCUUCGGGCCUUGCGCUAUCGGAUGAGCCUAGGUCGGAUUAGCUAGUUGGUGGGGUAAAGGCUCACCAAGGCGACGAUCCGUAACUGGUCUGAGAGGAUGAUCAGUCACACUGGAACUGAGACACGGUCCAGACUCCUACGGGAGGCAGCAGUGGGGAAUAUUGGACAAUGGGCGAAAGCCUGAUCCAGCCAUGCCGCGUGCGUGAAGAAGGUCUUCGGAUUGUAAAGCACUUUAAGCUGGGAGGAAGGGCAGUAAGUUAAUACCUUGCUGUUUUGACGUUACCAGCAGAAUAAGCACCGGCUAACUUCGUGCCAGCAGCCGCGGUAAUACGAAGGGUGCAAGCGUUAAUCGGAAUUACUGGGCGUAAAGCGCGCGUAGGUGGUUCAGCAAGUUGGAUGUGAAAGCCCCGGGCUCAACCUGGGAACUGCAUCCAAAACUACUGGGCUAGAGUAUGGUAGAGGGUGGUGGAAUUUCCUGUGUAGCGGUGAAAUGCGUAGAUAUAGGAAGGAACACCAGUGGCGAAGGCGACCACCUGGACUAAUACUGACACUGAGGUGCGAAAGCGUGGGGAGCAAACAGGAUUAGAUACCCUGGUAGUCCACGCCGUAAACGAUGUCAACUAGUUGUUGGGUUCCUUGAGGACUUAGUAACGAAGCUAACGCGAUAAGUUGACCGCCUGGGGAGUACGGCCGCAAGGUUAAAACUCAAAUGAAUUGACGGGGGCCCGCACAAGCGGUGGAGCAUGUGGUU